GAUGAACGCUAGCUACAGGCUUAACACAUGCAAGUCGAGGGGCAUCAGGAAGAAAGCUUGCUUUCUUUGCUGGCGACCGGCGCACGGGUGAGUAACACGUAUCCAACCUGCCCUUUACUCGGGGAUAGCCUUUCGAAAGAAAGAUUAAUACCCGAUAGCAUAAUGAUUCCGCAUGGUUUCAUUAUUAAAGGAUUCCGGUAAAGGAUGGGGAUGCGUUCCAUUAGGUUGUUGGUGAGGUAACGGCCCACCAAGCCUUCGAUGGAUAGGGGUUCUGAGAGGAAGGUCCCCCACAUUGGAACUGAGACACGGUCCAAACUCCUACGGGAGGCAGCAGUGAGGAAUAUUGGUCAAUGGGCGAGAGCCUGAACCAGCCAAGUCGCGUGGAGGAAGACUGCCCUAUGGGUUGUAAACUCCUUUUACCUGGGAAUAACGGGCGCUACGUGUAGCGCUGUGCAUGUACCGUAUGAAUAAGGAUCGGCUAACUCCGUG
rnacentral:rRNA from 1 species